rnacentral:rRNA from 1 species
CCCCUAGACGUUCUGGGCUGCACGCGCGCUACAAUAAUACGCACAGCGAGUAUCACCGAGCUCGAAAGGGCAAGGUAAACAAUAGAAAGGGUACUGUAAUGGUUAUAGAUCCUUGUAAUUAUUGAUCUUCAACGAGGAAUUCCUAGUAAGUAUGUGUCAUCAUCACGCACUGAUUACGUCCCUGCCCUUUGUACACACCGCCCGUCGCUCCUACCGAUUGAAUGCUCAGGUGAGCCAUUCGGACCUUCAUCAUGCCGGUUUCCGGUUUUGAUGAGGGAAAGUCUUGCGAACCUUAUCAUUUAGAGGAAGGAGAAGUCGUAACA